UAGGGANUCUUCGGCAAUGGACGGAAGUCUGACCGAGCAACGCCGCGUGAGUGAAGAAGGUUUUCGGAUCGUAAAGCUCUGUUGUAAGAGAAGAACGAGUGUGAGAGUGGAAAGUUCACACUGUGACGGUAUCUUACCAGAAAGGGACGGCUAACUACGUGCCAGCAGCCGCGGUAAUACGUAGGUCCCGAGCGUUGUCCGGAUUUAUUGGGCGUAAAGCGAGCGCAGGCGGUUAGAUAAGUCUGAAGUUAAAGGCUGUGGCUUAACCAUAGUACGCUUUGGAAACUGUUUAACUUGAGUGCAAGAGGGGAGAGUGGAAUUCCAUGUGUAGCGGUGAAAUGCGUAGAUAUAUGGAGGAACACCGGUGGCGAAAGCGGCUCUCUGGCUUGUAACUGACGCUGAGGCUCGAAAGCGUGGGGAGCAAACAGGAUUAGAUACCCUGGUAGUCCACGCCGUAAACGAUGAGUGCUAGGUGUUAGACCCUUUCCGGGGUUUAGUGCCGCAGCUAACGCAUUAAGCACUCCGCCUGGGGAGUACGACCGCAAGGNUG
rnacentral:rRNA from 1 species